UACGGCAGAGUCUGAGAGCUGAUCCUCCUCGUCUCCUCGAUAACAGAGUACCUUCUUCUCUUGAGAAAGCAGAGACAGCAAGACCCCAAAAUGAAAUUGGCAAUCGUCUGUCUGGCUCUUGCGACUGCGGCCUCGGGUCUGUACAUCCCUGCAGAAGAAAAGAGAGGUCUUCACGAAGUCGCUCAGAUAGUUGAGAAUGUCCUCAAGGAAAUUACUCAACUUGUUGAUAAUACCAGUCACACCCCUUCCAAGAGGAAUUUGGACGAUCUGGUAAAAAUUAUCCAAACCAUUCUUAACUCUGUCAUUGACAAAUCGAAUGAUAGCUCCAAGAGAGGUGUUUUAGUUAAUGUGGCUGAUUCAUUUGAUCAGAUAAUAGAGGAAAUCAAACAUGCGAUUCACCCAAAUAAUGAUCUUGACAAGAGAGGUGUCCUCAUUGAUUUUGCUGACAAGAUUGACAAAUUAUUUGAGGGUGUUCAGCAUGCGCUCCAUCCUGAUGACACAGGUAUUGCGGAAACAGUGUAAGAAAAACAUCAACAAGCAAAAGACGUCUGGGAAGCCAUUCUAAACGCAGAUCUUUAAUCUGCUUGAAAAAGAUCGGCUCGUGGUUGACAAAAAGAUCAACACUAUCAUCAAAGAACCCACCUACUGCCUUUUUCCUGUUACCUAGAGAAAUCUCCACGAUAGUGCCCAAAAGUUUGGUAUACAGCUAACAGUGCUCCCGUUGCUUUAAGCAUGGGCAUCUAUUUAAUGGCGUAUCUUGUAUAAUGUUGGGAAACAUUAAGCUACCUGUCAAAAAUGUAGACUGAAAUCUCCAAAGCACUUUUUAGAUAACAAGUCACCAAUUAAACUUUCCUUAAAAACGUUCAAA